UUCGGGGGACAGGGUGACAGGUGGUGCAUGGUUGUCGUCAGCUCGUGUCGUGAGAUGUUGGGUUAAGUCCCGUAACGAGCGCAACCCUUGUCCUUAGUUACCAGCACGUUAAGGUGGGCACUCUAAGGAGACUGCCGGUGACAAACCGGAGGAAGGUGGGGAUGACGUCAAGUCAUCAUGGCCCUUACGGCCUGGGCUACACACGUGCUACAAUGGUCGGUACAAAGGGUUGCCAAGCCGCGAGGUGGAGCUAAUCCCAUAAAACCGAUCGUAGUCCGGAUCGCAGUCUGCAACUCGACUGCGUGAAGUCGGAAUCGCUAGUAAUCGUGAAUCAGAAUGUCACGGUGAAUACGUUCCCGGGCCUU
rnacentral:rRNA from 1 species